UGGUGAGUAAGGCUCCCAGAAAGAAUGAUGUCCGUGGACGCGGGAUGGGAUCAAGUAAGGGGAGGUUCACCA
rnacentral:ncRNA from 1 species